UUUGAGUCAGCUUUGGGGCUGAGGCUAUCCAAGAAGUGUCCCCUUAGGCCACAUAAAGGGAAAGUGUCACUUUUGAUCCCGGUGCUGAGGUGCGCAGGGCAGAGCAGUUCCAGUGUGUAUCGUGUCACUUGUCUAACGUGCCUGGUGUUUAUAUGUCGCAUGUCGUGCAUCGUCUACCUUAGCCCUUUGAGGGGCUCAUCAGAAACCCUGGCAUCAUUCUUAGCGUCUGUGAUCUCUGCAUUUCCUGGUCUGGCACCAAUGCCACAGGACUUUUGACUCAGGAGCUCAGACAGGCAUCAGAAUUGCAUUUCUCUUUAGGAGCAUCCAGUCAGAUGUCUUUGCAGGUCUUGUUCUGAGCAGUAUUUACCUUGCAAGGAUCCAUUAUGGCAGAUUAGGGCUUGUAAGAAUGCAAAGAUAGGUAGAGGAUGCUGACCGUCGGUUUCUCAGACGUCCAUCUUUGCAGUUCUUUGACGAAAUCAUUCUCUUAGGAGAUACUUCCUCCAUGGUUGUCUGAGCCUCAUCACCUCACUGUCAAUCUCACCUCAGUCAUUUCAUUUUCCAUUCUCUCAGUCCUUGCAGUCAUUCUUCUUGUCAAGAGAUAGUAGUCCCUGUUGUGUCCUCAUUGUUUGUCCUCUGUUUGACCCUGUCCCGUGUCACGGGCGUCCGCACACGUUUGUGCCGGAGCUGCUCUGCCCUGCCGCGUAGCCUGGUGUAAUACGACACAUCCUGGGGGCUUGAAAUUUGUAGUGUGGGGUGUAGUUGGAUUCUAGAUGGUAUUCCUAGGUUGACCCUAGGAAGUUGUCUGGAGCUGUGAAGUUAUCCUGCAGCCCUUUGAACUUUGUCCUGACUCUGUUUCAGAUGCAGACGGAUAAAAUCCAUGGCAGAACUCCCCAUCCCAGGAAGUAAAGCCAUCUAGCAGCAGUCAAGGCGAAGUGGUUGAGGCAGUCCACUUUCAAUCCAUGCCAGCUGAGGAUGCCCGAUGCCAGGUACCUUCCAGGCAGACUCUGGAGUCAAAUCAAGAUUUGAGGUACCGUGAGGAGCUUCGUGGGCAAAGUUUGGAGAGAGCGCCACCGAAGCACAUGAGACCGUCUCAACGUCCACGUCCCACCGGGGAUGGAUUUUGUCAGCUCGUCUUCCAAAAGCUAAGUGUUGGGGUCCAUAGUUGGGAGAAGGGGAAAAACCUUUACUAUCACAGGAGGCCAUGUGAUGUUAGCUUAGCGGAGCGAUCUGUAGCGUAACAGGUCCCUCAGAUGUAAAGGGAGAGGGUUUCUCCUCGGCCUCACCGGAGCCUUUGCCGGGCAGGGCAGUUCCGACCCGUCUCCACGUUCUCGCGGACUUUGCGUCGUCAGCCUCCUUCGACCCUCGACAUCGUCGUGGAUCUUUCUCCCGAGGAGCUCGCCUUCGGGUCCGGAGCUAUAGCCACCAUCACCCGGCAGUCUUUGCUUCCUUCUCUAGGCCCACCGAGCCUCUCGAGCAUCCUCUUAACUGCUUUGGCACUAACUUCUUUUAAGGAGUUGCAUUUCAUCGUCACACGCUAUUGCCAUAGGACUCGCUUUACUUUGGCAUCUUUGGCCUCUGGCUCAUCUUGCGCUAGGAAUCUUGAGUCCAUAGGGUGAAACUGCUAGGCAGUUUCCACCUGUGUCUGUGUUAUGUCACCUGUGUCUGUGUUACGUUGUCUACGUUACGGUGUCUGCGUUAUGUAGUCUGUGUCCAUCGUCUUCCGUGUCGUAGGCCUUUGUUACAUCUCGACGCCGUAUCGGCCUCAUUCCGUGCCGUAUCGGCCAUAUUUUACUCGCGUUCCUUCCCGGACAUCGCUUAUUCUGCCAUCUCUCUUUUGAGACACAAAGAAGUACACAAGAGGUUCUCAUCAGUCUUCCGUCUCAGCUGCGGUAGUGCCUUUUUCUUCCUGUGCUAUUCUCUUGGCCUUCUAUAGGGAGUGUCUUACACCCUCCUCAUGUGACUGCCAUAGUUCUGUAGGUUCCAUCUUCUCAAAGGGUGCGGUGCUCAAGAAUUCAUCUUCCAGAGAGUUAUCCGAAGUCCUGGUUUACAUUGUAUGUGCUUAUGUUGUAUGUACCUAUGUUGGCUUAUAUUGUAUGUAAUUAUAUUGUAUGAAUCUAUGUUGGCUUAUAUUGUAUGUAAUUAUAUUGUAUGAAUCUAUGUUGGUUUAUAUUGUAUGUGCUUAUAUUGUAUGAAUCUAUGUUGGCAUAUAUUUGCAUGUACUUGUAUGGUAUGUAAAUCUGUUGGCUUAUAUUGUGCGUACUUGUAUGGUAUGUAAUUCUGUUGGCUUAUAUUGUGCGUACUUGUAUGGUAUGUAAUUCUAUUGGCUCAUAUUGUGCGUACUUAUAUUGCGCCACUUACGGUCGGAGCUGCCCUGCCCUGGCACGUAGUCACAGUUAGGUAGAACAGUUAUAAAAACUUUACCAUUCAUCUAUCUUCUAUGGGAUUUUGGGUAGAAAACUUAGGGGCCCGGAGCAGGGACAAGUCCUAGCCGUCAGCCACUCGUUGACCACCUCCCGUUGUCUCACAGGUCCCUGAGGCGA